UGAGGAAUAUUGGACAAUGGAUGGAAAUCUGAUCCAGCCAUGCCGCGUGCAGGAAGACGGCCCUAUGGGUUGUAAACUGCUUUUGUAUGGGAGCAAUAAGGACUACGUGUAGUUUGAUGAGAGUACCAUACGAAUAAGCAUCGGCUAACUCCGUGCCAGCAGCCGCGGUAAUACGGAGGAUGCGAGCGUUAUCCGGAUUUAUUGGGUUUAAAGGGUGCGUAGGCGGCGAUAUAAGUCAGUGGUGAAAUAUUUCGGCUUAACCGAGAGACUGCCAUUGAUACUGUGUUGCCAGAAUAUGGUUGCUGUGAGUGGAAUGUGUGGUGUAGCGGUGAAAUGCUUAGAUAUCACACAGAAUAUCGAUUGCGAAGGCAGCUCACAAAGCCAUUAUUGACGCUGAGGCACGAAAGUGUGGGGAUCAAACA
rnacentral:rRNA from 1 species